rnacentral:rRNA from 1 species
ACAGGGGGGGCAAGCGUUGUUCGGAAUUACUGGGCGUAAAGGGUUCGUAGGUGGCCAACUAAGUCAGACGUGAAAUCCCUCAGCUUAACUGGGGAACUGCGUCUGAAACUGGUUGGCUUGAGUGCAGGAGAGGAAUGCGGAAUUCCAGGUGUAGCGUGAAAUGCGUAGAUAUCUGGAGGAACACCGGUGGCGAAGGCGGCAUUCUGGACUGUAACUGACACUGAGGAACGAAUGCCAGGGGAGCAAACGGGA